UGGCUCCUCUGGCCUAUUGUGGCAUUCUAUUCUGGGGAGAGCAUGCUGGACUUGCCUUCUCCUCUGUGAUAGAAAUGUGACCGCAUUUGCCUGUCUUUACGUCAAGCCAAAAGACAGAGCUUUCUGCCAAAGGCCAGCUAUAGAUGGAACUAAGUUUAGUUGUAGGAAAAAUACAGGAUUGUCCCUGUUUGCUUGUAUGAGUUUUUAGAUAUUGUUGAGCGGAAGUUUGUUUGCAGUUUCAGCAGGGUCUCAAGCAGCCCAGGCAAGCCUCAAGUUGUAAUGUAUCUGAGGAUGACCUUGAAUCUUUCAUCCUCCUGUGUCUACCUCCCACACACUGGGAUUACAGGGGUAACGCACUGUAUCAAAUAUGCAAGGUCUUAAAAAGAAGAAGGGAUUUUGAGAGCCCAUCCCAUAUGAAGGCAUGCUCUCCUGACCUGGACACAUGGGGAAGGGCCUAGGCCUGGCCCAGCAUGAUGUGGUAGACUUUGAGGAGCCC
rnacentral:lncRNA from 1 species